GGGUCAAGUUUUGGGGUGGUAUCUUCGUUGCCGUUUGGGAAGAUAUUUUGAGGAAGGAGGUUUUAGCUUGGGGAACAAGCUGCCGGAAGAGGAGUUUUUUUUUUUUGAGGAGAGGUUUUGGCCUGGGGAACAAAGGUUCAUCUUUUUGGGAUGGGUGUUGCUAAGGGGGAAAUAGCACAGAAUGUGAGCAUUGGGGAUUUUAUUAUGUUCUUGUGGAAUCUGAGCUCGUUUGCCUCCAUUUUAGGCUUGGUUUCUAGCUUGGUUUUUAACCUGUUUUCUGGGCUCUAUUUUUGGUAUUCAUGUCUUGAUUCUUCUUUGAAACUUGAUUGAGAUCCAUUUUCAACCUAUCCCUUCACCUAAGCGCAUGGAUGCAAGUAUGAAAUGUAGCUUGUGGGGAUUCGUUUCCCCUCCUGCACCUUGUGCUCUGUUUUGGCUAACUUCCCUUGUUCCUGGUAUCCAUUCAUGGCGUGCACCUGAUUGUUCAUCUCCGCCUGAAGAAGCUAUAUAAGAGUUUUUAGUGGGUCAUUCUGAGUCCAUUCAACCUCAGGGUGCUCUUGCUGUUGGGAAUCUCCAGUUUUUUGGUUCAUUUAAUGGCCUCUGAAUAGUCAACAGUGUUGAUAGGACCAUUGUGGUAUUGGAUGGCAGUUUGGUGGUAGUGAAUGGAAGCUUUGUGGAAGAAAUGACAUGUAAUCAAAGGAGACUAAAACAGGGAUGUUAAUUAGAUUGUGAUUAUGCA